rnacentral:rRNA from 1 species
AGAGUUUGAUCCUGGCUCAGGAUGAACGCUAGCGACAGGCCUAACACAUGCAAGUCGAGGGGCAGCGCGGAGUAGCAAUACUUUGGCGGCGACCGGCGCACGGGUGAGUAACACGUAUGCAACCAACCCAUAACAGGGGGAUAACCCGGAGAAAUCCGGACUAAUACCGCAUAAGACCACGAUAUCGCAUGAUAUAGAGGUCAAAUAUUUAUAGGUUAUGGACGGGCAUGCGUCUGAUUAGCUGGUUGGCGGGGUAACGGCCCACCAAGGCAUCGAUCAGUAGGGGUUCUGAGAGGAAGGUCCCCCACAUUGGAACUGAGACACGGUCCAAACUCCUACGGGAGGCAGCAGUGAGGAAUAUUGGUCAAUGGGCGAAAGCCUGAACCAGCCAUGUCGCGUGAAGGAUGAAGGUCCUAUGGAUUGUAUACUUCUUUUGCAGGAGGGUAAAGUGAGCUACGUGUAGUUCAUUGCAAGUACCCUGCGAAUAAGCAUCGGCUAACUCCGUGCCAGCAGCCGCGGCAAUACGGAGGAUGCGAGCGUUAUCCGGAUUUAUUGGGUUUAAAGGGUGCGUAGGCGGACUAAUUAGUCAGCGGUGAAAUUUUGCGGCUCAACCGUAAAACUGCCGUUGAAACUGUUAGUCUUGAGUGCGGUAGAGGUAGGCGGAAUGUGUGGUGUAGCGGUGAAAUGCUUAGAUAUCACACAGAACACCGAUUGCGUAGGCAGCUUACUGGAGCGCAACUGACGCUGAGGCACGAAAGCGUGGGGAUCGAACAGGAUUAGAUACCCUGGUAGUCCACGCUGUAAACGAUGAUCACUAGCUAUCGGCGAUAUACAGUCGGUGGCACAGCGAAAGCGUUAAGUGAUCCACCUGGGGAGUACGCCGGCAACGGUGAAACUCAAAGGAAUUGACGGGGGCCCGCACAAGCGGAGGAACAUGUGGUUUAAUUCGAUGAUACGCGAGGAACCUUACCCGGGCUUGAAAUGCAGAGAAAUAACGGUGAAAGUCGUUAGCCAGCAAUGGUCUCUGUGUAGGUGCUGCAUGGUUGUCGUCAGCUCGUGCCGUGAGGUGUCGGCUUAAGUGCCAUAACGAGCGCAACCCUUACCAUUAGUUACUAACGGGUCAUGCCGAGGACUCUAGUGGGACUGCCACCGUAAGGUGUGAGGAAGGUGGGGAUGACGUCAAAUCAGCACGGCCCUUACGUCCGGGGCGACACACGUGUUACAAUGGGCGGCACAGAGGGCAGCGACUCCGCGAGGGGAAGCAAAUCUCAAAAAGCCGUUCUCAGUUCGGAUUGGAGUCUGCAACUCGACUCCAUGAAGCUGGAUUCGCUAGUAAUCGCGCAUCAGCCAUGGCGCGGUGAAUACGUUCCCGGGCCUUGUACACACCGCCCGUCAAGCCAUGGAAGCUGGGGGCGCCUAGAGUCCGCUACCGCGAGGGGCGGCCUAGGGCGAAACUAGUAACUGGGGCUAAGUCGAAACAAGGUAGCCGUACCGGAAGGUGCGGCUG